rnacentral:rRNA from 1 species
CGGUCUUUGGGGGAAGGGGCUAACACAUGCAAGUCGAACGGUAACAGGAAGCAGCUUGCUGCUUUGCUGACGAGUGGCGGACGGGUGAGUAAUGUCUGGGAAACUGCCUGAUGGAGGGGGAUAACUACUGGAAACGGUAGCUAAUACCGCAUAACGUCGCAAGACCAAAGAGGGGGACCUUCGGGCCUCUUGCCAUCGGAUGUGCCCAGAUGGGAUUAGCUAGUAGGUGGGGUAACGGCUCACCUAGGCGACGAUCCCUAGCUGGUCUGAGAGGAUGACCAGCCACACUGGAACUGAGACACGGUCCAGACUCCUACGGGAGGCAGCAGUGGGGAAUAUUGCACAAUGGGCGCAAGCCUGAUGCAGCCAUGCCGCGUGUAUGAAGAAGGCCUUCGGGUUGUAAAGUACUUUCAGCGGGGAGGAAGGCGAUAAGGUUAAUAACCUUGUCGAUUGACGUUACCCGCAGAAGAAGCACCGGCUAACUCCGUGCCAGCAGCCGCGGUAAUACGGAGGGUGCAAGCGUUAAUCGGAAUUACUGGGCGUAAAGCGCACGCAGGCGGUCUGUCAAGUCGGAUGUGAAAUCCCCGGGCUCAACCUGGGAACUGCAUUCGAAACUGGCAGGCUAGAGUCUUGUAGAGGGGGGUAGAACUCCAUGUGUAGCGGUG